ACGUUUCAUCAUGUAGACCAAAAUUUGAACAAUACAGAGAAGAUCAGCAUGGCCAGUGUAUAAAGGUGAUACAUUCAGGAAAUAUUAGUGCUAGAAUACAUAAUUUU